GCUUCUGUUGGAGGCUGUGUCACAUAUUCGCGCCGUCCAAGUAUCGUUCACCAGUAAAGGCGCAAGUUUCAGCCUCGAGAACGAAGAAAUCCGAUUCCCUGCUGCAGAAAAGAAAGAAAUGAUUAUCCGUAAUAUUUAGAAAAUAUUUUUAAGUAUCAGCAACUGAUACUUUCGCUCAACCAUACCCAAUCUGACUCAACCGGUGAACAAGAAAUAAAUUGCAACUCGAUACUUUCAUGGAAGACACCAGACGGUAACCGGAUACCAGUUCUUCAUUGUCGACUGAGAGAAAGUAUCCACAAUCGAUACUUGGUAGUAUUCUUUAUUCGCUUGACGCUACAUAAAAAAGAUCACUGCAUUUUCGCGCGGCGGCACUUUUUUUUUUCAUCACUUUUGUACAUAUAGAAUUAGUUGGCAUUAAAACGUAACAAUUACAUUUAUCAACAACUUUGUGUAAUUAGCGUCUUGUAUACAAUUUCCUCGGAAUAGUUCCGCUAAUUGCACGUACGUGGAAGAAAGAAAUUUUUAGACAGCUCACACAUCGAGAUUACUUUGAAAUAAAAUGCGCAGGGAAACGAGAGUACUGAAAAUAUACUUAGGAUGAUCACGAGGAUUUUGAUAACCGGAGAGAUGUGGCUUCGGUGGCAGCGUAAUCGAAGCCCGUCGUCGAUUCAUGUUCUUUAUUUAUUCGCCGUUUCGUACAUAUUUCACUUGUUCUCAAUAAUAAUUGUUGCGUGUGUAUGUCUGUGUUGUGUUUGUUACACGGGUUACUUCCGUACGUCAUAUUUAUACACGAGUAAGAGUCUUUGCCGUAGAUGCGCAAUUAUCGCAGUUUAUCGCCUUAAUAAAACGUUUCUUCGCUACGCAUUAACUUAUUAUCAUUAUUAUCGUUAUCAUUAUAGAAAAAAUAAGUCUUUAAAUAAUCACAUAAGAGUCGUCGAGAGCCUUUCGUGAAGGGACACGGAAAAGGAACGCGGGGGAGGACAGGGGUGGGGGAGAGAGGAAAGGGGAGGUACGUGGGUAUGCAUACAUUCAUGCAUAUUUGCGUGAUACUGUAUAUGCGUAUACUAUAAACGCGUACGUGUAUGAAGUGUACGGCAUAUGUCACGUAUGUGUAUGUGCGCGUAAAAGUACAUACAUGGACGCAUGCAUGACGAAGGGACGGAGAAGACGAGAUUGUUGGAUCCGGAGAGGAGGAGAAAGGAAGAG